rnacentral:rRNA from 1 species
CUACGGGAGGCAGCAGUGGGGAAUAUUGCACAAUGGGCGAAAGCCUGAUGCAGCGACGCCGCGUGCGGGAUGACGGCCUUCGGGUUGUAAACCGCUUUCAGCAGGGAAGAAGCGCAAGUGACGGUACCUGCAGAAGAAGCACCGGCUAACUACGUGCCAGCAGCCGCGGUAAUACGUAGGGUGCGAGCGUUGUCCGGAAUUAUUGGGCGUAAAGAGCUUGUAGGCGGUUUGUCGCGUCUGCUGUGAAAAUCCGGGGCUCAACCCCGGACUUGCAGUGGGUACGGGCAAACUAGAGUGUGGUAGGGGAGACUGGAAUUCCUGGUGUAGCGGUGAAAUGCGCAGAUAUCAGGAGGAACACCAAUGGCGAAGGCAGGUCUCUGGGCUGACACUGACGCUGAGGCGCGAAAGCUAGGAGAGCAAACGGGAUUAGAUACCCUAGUAGUCC